GCUCCGUUCGUCUAGACGGCCUAGGACACAACCCUUUCAAGGUUGUAACAGGGGUUCGAAUCCCCUACGGAGCGCCA
rnacentral:tRNA from 1 species